rnacentral:lncRNA from 12 species
AUUUUGCCUUUCAAGCACAAGUAAAAGCCAAACAAACCUGAAGGUGAACGAAGCACAGCACAGGUUCCUAUUUAUAAUUUGGACAAGAGACUGGCAGAAAUGCCCCGCAUCAGUCUGGGACUCUGAACAGCCUAAGGACGGUGGCACAGGGAAACUACAGCUUCGCCUUCCAUAAAACCAGCUGCCAGAUCCAGGGUUUAUUUCACUCCUUCCAACGCCACAUAAACAAAGCACGUUUUACACACCUCACCUUCCCUCUCACAACGAAACAGACGCAUCCCAGCUACAGGUUGCACUACGAACUCCGCAAAACAAUGGAACCAGCCGCCUGCCACAAAGGCGAGCUGGAGAACACACACGUGAGCCAAUGCACCCCGGGCACUCCUCACUCGGGCCUCUUUUUGUUCUCGCCCGUGCUCGCCGAAAGCGCCCACCCCAGCCGCUACUACGAAUUUACGGGCGCCACGCACACGCGUGCGCGCCCGGGGCCCAGCCUGCGUUUUCCGAAUGCCGUGGAACGCGCGCUGACCCCAGGGCAGCGCCGCGUUUACGGGAAAGGCAGCGAUGUUCCCCGGGCGCGGCUGCACGGCGGGGGCUGCGGCACCCGCGACCCGCCGGCAUAAGGGGCAAACUCAUCCAUCGUUACUGGUUUUGCUGUUCGCUGCCAGCGAAAGCCCGUAGCCGCAGACCGCCAGCACAUCAGGAGAGAUGGCAACAAACCAGGACACAAUUCAUGGAGAUGAGGUGCACCAACACACUCUGGCAAGAAGAGGUUUACACUGAGUAAGGCAGACUUCUGAGCACACAUGGCCAUCUCUGGGCCUCUUUUCUCUCCUGUGUUUCUUCUGGCUUGCUUUCCUCUCCUGUGACUUGUGCUUCAGUGACUCCCACUGCCAACUCCAAAGUGCAGUUGCUGUCUACAUUUUCACUCCUGCUUGUGGGAGCCCUCAGUGACACUGGCCUGCCUGUGAGCAUGCUGGGGAGGGUGAGAAGAAGACCUGAGGGACCAGCAGACCCCUCUGUGAUGGGCACUUGGCCAGCAGUGGUGGCUCCUUUCCCUGUGUAGGAUAACUGGCUGCUGGCAGCUCUCAUUCCUGCUCUUCAACCACCAUCAAGCAGCCCUUUUGUUAGCCCACACUUGAGUUUUUGU